UUCAGUUCGACUCGAUAAGGAACCGAACCGAGCUAGAGCUUAUCAUAAAGCUCGCGAGCUCUAGCGAGUCAAGCUUAAGCUCAAAAUUUUCACUUCGCACAUUCCAAUUUCUUCCGCGCUCUAGUUCUAAAUUCUCACUGCUAGCAAUCAAAUAGUCAAUGGCCCAACGAACACAAACAAUUAUUCCCCACCUGUCCCAAUACAACAGCCCGUAUAUACCCAAACCCUAGUUUAUUUGCUCUCUUUCUCAAAACACUGCUCUCUUCGAUUUGUCUCAGAUUGCUCCGGCGUUUGCUACUAUGGAUCUAGCCAAGGGUCCGGCCAUCAUUCGCCUCUCCUGUGACUCCUGUCCUGGAAGUGCCUCAUUGGAGACAGCAUGAGCCCACCGCCUCCACCGUAAAUGACGACCCAGAUCUGAGUGUCUAGUUGGAGUGGUACUGCUGCUUAUCUUGUUGUUCUCUUGUUCUACUUAUCUUGUUGUUCUCUUGUUCUCAAAGUCUGAAAGUUGUAGAACAUUACAUGCUUGCCAUUUGCCAAGGUAAAUUGAUGAUGUCUGAAAAUCGAUCUAUAGAGAUUGAGUCACCGAACCAUCCAAAAAGUUAUUACGGGAAGAUAUCCAAAUUGCUGAAAGAACUACCUUAACGAGCUCUCGGAGCUUAUACGAACCGAGCUCGAGUUGAGCCGAGCCUUGAUCGAGCUCGACCGAGCCUAUCUUUAAGCUUGAAUGUUAUGCUAGGCUCGAGCUCGAGCUUAGGUAGGUAAGCUCGCUCGAGCUCGGCUGCCCUACUCCAGAGUC